rnacentral:tRNA from 1 species
AGGCGCGUAGCUCAGUGGGAGAGCACUACCUUGACACGGUAGGGGUCGACAGUUCAAUCCUGUCCGCGCCUACCA